rnacentral:rRNA from 1 species
ACCUGCGGAAGGAUCAUUGUCGAAACCUGCAAAGCAGACCCGCGAACACGUUCCAACUCACAGGGAGGACGACGUGGACGAUCCGUCCCACGUCGGAGACCCACUCCGUCGAUGCGUGCGCAAGCACUCGUCGCACGGCUCAACGAACCCCGGCGCGAAAAGCGUCAAGGAAUACUCAAAAACAUUGCUCGCCCCUCGAUGCCCCGUUCGCGGUGCGCACUUGGGGACCGGGCGUGUGUCGAAUUUAAAACGACUCUCGGCAACGGAUAUCUUGGCUCUCGCAUCGAUGAAGAACGCAGCAAAAUGCGAUACUUGGUGUGAAUUGCAGAAUCCCGUGAACCAUCGAGUUUUUGAACGCAAGUUGCGCCCGAAGCCAUUGUGCCGAGGGCACGUCUGCCUGGGCGUCACGCACAGCGUCGCCCUCCACCUCCCCCGUAACGGGAUCGCGGGUGUUGGGCCGGAUAUUGGUCUCCCGUGCGCAUCCGCGCGCGGYUGGCCCAAAUGUGAUUCGGCAUCGACGCAUGUCACGACAAUUGGUGGUUGAAGACCUCAACUCGCGCGUUGUCGUGCGGGACUGCGUCGUUUCGCCGGGAUGUGCCGACCCCGAAGGUGCUUCGCACUUCGACAGCGACCCCAGGUC